GCAGUUUUCCGACUGUACCUUCAGACUGAAGGGUCGGUAGGUAGGAAAAAUAUUUUAUUUUAUCAGCCAAAAUACAGUUUAAACAAGCAGUUACACUAAAAACCAAGUUUCUUGUGAAGAAAAAAAAAAACAUUUUAAAACAACAAACACUGGACAUGCUGAAAACCAACAUCAAAUGAACAGGCAUUUUCAGAUAAAAAAACUUUUUAACCAAAACUGAAACUUUAACGUAGUGUCAUUAUCCAAUUUAUGAUAUAAAAUAUGGUAUAAUUAUUAAAUACUGGAAC
rnacentral:lncRNA from 1 species